UGGGGAAUUUUGGACAAUGGGCGAAAGCCUGAUCCAGCAAUGCCGCGUGUGUGAAGAAGGCCUUCGGGUUGUAAAGCACUUUUGUCCGGAAAGAAAUCCUUGGCUCUAAUACAGUCGGGGGAUGACGGUACCGGAAGAAUAAGCACCGGCUAACUACGUGCCAGCAGCCGCGGUAAUACGUAGGGUGCAAGCGUUAAUCGGAAUUACUGGGCGUAAAGCGUGCGCAGGCGGUUUGCUAAGACCGAUGUGAAAUCCCCGGGCUCAACCUGGGAACUGCAUUGGUGACUGGCAGGCUAGAGUAUGGCAGAGGGGGGUAGAAUUCCACGUGUAGCAGUGAAAUGCGUAGAGAUGUGGAGGAAUACCUAUGGCGAAGGCAGCCCCCUGGGCCAAUACUGACGCUCAUGCACGAAAGCGUGGGGAGCAAACAGGAUUAGAUACCCUGGUAGUCCACGCCCUAAAACGAUGUCAACUAGUUGUUGGGGAUUCAUUUCCUUAGUAACGUAGCUAACGCGUGAAGUUGACCGCCUGGGGAGUACGGUCGCAAGAUUAAAACUUAAAUGAAUUGACGGGGUCAUAGCUGUUUCCU
rnacentral:rRNA from 1 species